UACACGACCGUACCGCAAACCGACACUGGUGCGCGGGAUGAGUAUUCUAAGGCGCUUGAGAGAACUCAGGAGAAGGAACUCGGCAAAUUGACACCGUAACUUCGGAAGAAGGUGUGCCUUUAGUAGGUGAACCAUUUACUUGGAGAGCCCAAUGAGGUUGCAAAAAAUCGGUGGCUGCGACUGUUUAUUAAAAACACAGCACUCUGCAAACACGAAAGUGGACGUAUAGGGUGUGACGCCUGCCCGGUGCUGGAAGAUUAAAUGAUGGGGUGCAAGCUCUUGAUUGAAGUCCCAGUAAACGGCGGCCGUAACAAUAACGGUCCUAAGGUAGCGAAAUUCCUUGUCGGGUAAGUUCCGACCUGCACGAAUGGCGUAACGAUGGCCACACUGUCUCCUCCUGAGACUCAGCGAAGUUGAAAUGUUUGUGAUGAUGCAAUCUCCCCGCGGAAAGACGGAAAGACCCCAUGAACCUUUACUGUAGCUUUGUAUUGGACUUUGAACAGAUCUGUGUAGGAUAGGUGGGAGGCUUUGAAGUAGGGUCGCUAGAUCUUAUGGAGCCAACGUUGAAAUACCACCCUGGUGUGUUUGAGGUUCUAACCUAGGUCCAUUAUCUGGAUCGGGGACAGUGCAUGGUAGGCAGUUUGACUGGGGCGGUCUCCUCCCAAAGCGUAACGGAGGAGUUCGAAGGUACGCUAGUUACGGUCGGACAUCGUGACGAUAGUGCAAUGGCAUAAGCGUGCUUAACUGCGAGACUGACAAGUCGAGCAGAUGCGAAAGCAGGACAUAGUGAUCCGGUGGUUCUGUAUGGAAGGGCCAUCGCUCAACGGAUAAAAGGUACUCUGGGGAUAACAGGCUGAUACCGCCCAAGAGUUCAUAUCGACGGCGGUGUUUGGCACCUCGAUGUCGGCUCAUCUCAUCCUGGGGCUGUAGCCGGUCCCAAGGGUAUGGCUAUUCGCCAUUUAAAGAGGUACGUGAGCUGGGUUUAAAACGUCGUGAGACAGUUUGGUCCCUAUCUUCCGUGGGCGCUGCAGAUUUGAGGAAGCCUGCUCCUAGUACGAGAGGACCGGAGUGGACACACCUCUGGUGUAUCGGUUGUCACGCCAGUGGCAUUGCCGAGUAGCUAAGUGUGGAAGAGAUAACCGCUGAAAGCAUCUAAGCGGGAAACUCGUUUCAAGAUGAGAUCUGCCGGGGCCCUGAGCCCCCUAAAGAGUCGUUCAAGACCAGGACGUUGAUAG
rnacentral:rRNA from 1 species